UACGAAGGGGGCUAGCGUUGCUCGGAAUCACUGGGCGUAAGCGCACGUAGGCGGCUUUCUAAGUCAGGGGUGAAAUCCUGGAGCUCAACUCCAGAACUGCCUUUGAUACUGGGAAGCUCGAGUCCGGAAGAGGUGAGUGGAACUCCGAGUGUAGAGGUGAAAUUCGUAGAUAUUCGGAAGAACACCAGUGGCGAAGGCGGCUCACUGGUCCGGUACUGACGCUGAGGUGCGAAAGCGUGGGGAGCAAACAGG
rnacentral:rRNA from 1 species